UAAGCGGUUGAAGGUGUGUGGUAACGCAUGCUGGACGUAUCAGAAGUGCGAAUGCUGACAUGAGUAACGAUAAAGGGGGUGAAAAACCUCCUCGCCGGAAGACCAAGGGUUCCUGUCCAACGUUAAUCGGGGCAGGGUAAGUCGACCCCUAAGGCGAGGCCGAAAGGCGUAGUCGAUGGGAAACGGGUUAAUAUUCCCGUACUUCUUACAAUUGCGAUGGGGGGACGGAGAAGGCUAGGUGGGCCUGGCGACGGUUGUCCAGGUUCAAGUGCGUAGGCUUGAGAGUUAGGUAAAUCCGGCUCUCUUUAAGGCUGAGACACGACGUCGAGCACCUACGGGUGUGAAGUCAUUGAUGCCAUGCUUCCAGGAAAAGCCUCUAAGCUUCAGAUUGUAAGGAAUCGUACCCCAAACCGACACAGGUGGUCGGGUAGAGAAUACCAAGGCGCUUGAGAGAACUCGGGUGAAGGAACUAGGCAAAAUGGUACCGUAACUUCGGGAGAAGGUACGCUCUUGAUGGUGAAGUCCCUUGCGGAUGGAGCUGACGAGAGUCGCAGAUACCAGGUGGCUGCAACUGUUUAUUAAAAACACAGCACUGUGCAAAAUCGUAAGAUGACGUAUACGGUGUGACGCCUGCCCGGUGCCGGAAGGUUAAUUGAUGGGGUUAGACUUCGGUCGAAGCUCUUGAUCGAAGCCCCGGUAAACGGCGGCCGUAACUAUAACGGUCCUAAGGUAGCGAAAUUCCUUGUCGGGUAAGUUCCGACCUGCACGAAUGGCGUAAUGAUGGCCACGCUGUCUCCACCCGAGACUCAGUGAAAUUGAAAUCGCUGUGAAGAUGCAGUGUACCCGCGGCUAGACGGAAAGACCCCGUGAACCUUUACUACAGCUUGGCACUGAACAUUGACCCUACAUGUGUAGGAUAGGUGGGAGGCUUUGAAGCACGUACGCCAGUAUGUGUGGAGCCGUCCUUGAAAUACCACCCUUGUAGUGUUGAUGUUCUAACGUCGACCCCUUAUCGGGGUUGCGGACAGUGCCUGGUGGGUAGUUUGACUGGGGCGGUCUCCUCCCAAAGAGUAACGGAGGAGCACGAAGGUGGGCUAAUCACGGUUGGACAUCGUGAGGUUAGUGCAAUGGCAUAAGCCCGCUUGACUGCGAGAAUGACAAUUCGAGCAGGUGCGAAAGCAGGUCAUAGUGAUCCGGUGGUUCUGAAUGGAAGGGCCAUCGCUCAACGGAUAAAAGGUACUCCGGGGAUAACAGGCUGAUACCGCCCAAGAGUUCAUAUCGACGGCGGUGUUUGGCACCUCGAUGUCGGCUCAUCACAUCCUGGGGCUGAAGUCGGUCCCAAGGGUAUGGCUGUUCGCCAUUUAAAGUGGUACGCGAGCUGGGUUUAGAACGUCGUGAGACAGUUCGGUCCCUAUCUGCCGUGGGCGUUGGAAGAUUGAAGGGGGCUGCUCCUAGUACGAGAGGACCGGAGUGGACGAACCUCUGGUGUUCGGGUUGUGUCGCCAGACGCAUUGCCCGGUAGCUAAGUUCGGAAUCGAUAACCGCUGAAAGCAUCUAAGCGGGAAGCGAGCCCUGAGAUGAGUCUUCCCUGAUACUUUAAGUAUCCUAAAGGGUUGUCGGAGACUACGACGUUGAUAGGUCAGGUGUGUAAGUGCUGUGAGGCAUUGAGCUAACUGAUACUAAUUGCCCGUGAGGCUUAACCAUACAACAC
rnacentral:rRNA from 1 species